rnacentral:rRNA from 1 species
UGUAUUUAUUAGAUAAAAAACCAAUGCCCUUCGGGGCUUUUUGGUGAUUCAUGAUAACUUUACGGAUCGCAUAGCCUUGCGCUGGCGACGGUUCAUUCAAAUUUCUGCCCUAUCAACUUUCGAUGGUAAGGUAUUGGCUUACCAUGGUUUCAACGGGUAACGGGGAAUUAGGGUUCGAUUCCGGAGAGGGAGCCUGAGAAACGGCUACCACAUCCAAGGAAGGCAGCAGGCGCGCAAAUUACCCAAUCCCGACACGGGGAGGUAGUGACAAUAAAUACUGAUACAGGGCUCUUUUGGGCCUUGUAAUUGGAAUGAGUACAAUUUAAACCUCUUAACGAGGAACAAUUGGAGGGCAAGUCUGGUGCCAGCAGCCGCGGUAAUUCCAGCUCCAAUAGCGUAUAUUAAAGUUGUUGCAGUUAAAAAGCUCGUAGUUGAAACUUGGGCCUGGCUGGCGGGUCCGCCUCACCGCGUGCACUCGUCCGGCCGGGCCUUCCUUCUGAAGAACCUCAUGCCCUUCACUGGGCGUGCUGG